CCUUAGCAAUUUUUAAUAAAUUUUUUCAUAAUUUACACAUAUAUAUGGCAACCUCCAUCUUGGUUUCAAUUUGGUAAAACAUGUGCAACUUUAUAUGUAAAUGAGAGUUGGUGACUGUUAAUGCGAGUGAGAGAGUCACUAACUUGAGAAAAUUAUAAACUCUGCCUGGAAAAAGUAACAAUCUUAUCAUGAAGAGUUCUCCUUCACUCUAAAUAAACAUCAAAAUGGUUUUUG
rnacentral:misc_RNA from 1 species